rnacentral:misc_RNA from 1 species
GUACAUUAGUGCUUGCGCACGACAAUAUAUUUCAUUACAUUCGAGUGUGUGUAAAUUCCUCUGCCGGCCAAAGCUAGCAAGAGGCCAAAGGUGCACAGGGUAUUGGAUGAAAGUCACCAACGUGCACUUGCCAGGAUCUGGCCAGCACUGAAGGCAACGAUUCGUAAUCACUAAUGAUCCUUCCGCAGGUUCACCUACGGAAA